rnacentral:rRNA from 1 species
UACAGAGGUCUCAAGCGUUGUUCGGAAUCACUGGGCGUAAAGGGUGCGUAGGCUGCGCUGUAAGUCAGAUGUGAAAUCCCGGGGCUCAACCCCGGAACUGCAUCCGAUACUGCGGUGCUUGAGGACUGGAGAGGAGUCUGGAAUUCAUGGUGGAGCAGUGAAAUGCGUAGAUAUCAUGAGGAACGCUAGUGGCGUAGGCGAGACUCUGGACAGUUCCUGACGCUGAGGCACGAAGGCCAGGGGAGCAAACGGG